UCUUGCGAUCUGAUUAAGUCCCUGUGAUACUAUUCUUCCUAAUGACCGCCCGUCGCUACUACUGAUUGGAUGGUUUAGUGAGGUCCUCGGAUCGGCCCUGCCGGGGUCGGUCACGGCCCUGGUGGAGCGCCGAGAAGACGGUCAAACUUGACUAUCUAGAGGAAGUAAAAGU